GGGCCCGCACAAGCGGUGGAGUAUGUGGUUUAAUUCGAUGCAACGCGAAGAACCUUACCAACCCUUGACAUCCUGUGCUACAUUCAGAGAUGAAUGGUUCCCUUCGGGGACGCAGUGACAGGUGCUGCAUGGCUGUCGUCAGCUCGUGUCGUGAGAUGUUCGGUUAAGUCCGGCAACGAGCGCAACCCACAUCCCUAGUUGCCAGCAGUUCGGCUGGGCACUCUAUGGAAACUGCCCGUGAUAAGCGGGAGGAAGGUGUGGAUGACGUCAAGUCCUCAUGGCCCUUACGGGUUGGGCUACACACGUGCUACAAUGGUAGUGACAAUGGGUUAAUCCCAAAAAGCUAUCUCAGUUCGGAUUGUCGUCUGCAACUCGACGGCAUGAAGUCGGAAUCGCUAGUAAUCG
rnacentral:rRNA from 1 species